rnacentral:rRNA from 1 species
UACACUCCUACGGGAGGCAGCAGUGGGGAAUUUUGGACAAUGGGCGAAAGCCUGAUCCAGCAAUGCCGCGUGAGUGAAGAAGGCCUUCGGGUUGUAAAGCUCUUUUGUCAGGGAAGAAACGGUGAGAGCUAAUAUCUCUUGCUAAUGACGGUACCUGAAGAAUAAGCACCGGCUAACUACGUGCCAGCAGCCGCGGUAAUACGUAGGGUGCAAGCGUUAAUCGGAAUUACUGGGCGUAAAGCGUGCGCAGGCGGUUUUGUAAGUCUGAUGUGAAAUCCCCGGGCUCAACCUGGGAAUUGCAUUGGAGACUGCAAGGCUAGAAUCUGGCAGAGGGGGGUAGAAUUCCACGUGUAGCAGUGAAAUGCGUAGAUAUGUGGAGGAACACCGAUGGCGAAGGCAGCCCCCUGGGUCAAGAUUGACGCUCAUGCACGAAAGCGUGGGGAGCAAACAGGAUUAGAAACCCUGGUAGUCCC